UUGUAUAAUGGGUCAGCGACUUAAUCUAACGAGCAAGCUUAAACCGAUAGGUGUAGGCGCAGCGAAAGCGAGUGUUAAUAGCGCGACAGAGUUCGUUGGAUUAGACCCGAAACCAAGUGAUCUAGCCAUGGGCAGGUUGAAGGUGCAGUAACAUGCACUGGAGGACCGAACCAGAUAAUGUUGAAAAAUUACUGGAUGACCUGUGGCUAGGGGUGAAAGGCCAAUCAAACUUGGAGAUAGCUGGUUCUCCGCGAAAUCUAUUUAGGUAGAGCGUCAGUUGAAUACCACCGGGGGUAGAGCACUGUUUCGGCUAGGGGGUCAUCCCGACUUACCAAACCGAUGCAAACUCCGAAUACCUACAAGUGCCGAGCAUGGGAGACACACGGCGGGUGCUAAGGUCCGUAGUCGAGAGGGAAACAGCCCUGACCGCCAGCUAAGGUCCCUAAGUCAUGGCUAAGUGGGAAAGGAUGUGAGAAGGCCAAAACAACCAGGAGGUUGGCUUAGAAGCAGCCAUCCUUUAAAGAAAGCGUAAUAGCUCACUAGUCGAGUCGGCCUGCGCGGAAGAUGUAACGGGGCUCAAACCAUGCACCGAAGCUACGGGUAUCACCUUUGGUGAUGCGGUAGAGGAGCGUUCUGUAAGCCUGUGAAGGUGAGUUGAGAAGCUUGCUGGAGGUAUCAGAAGUGCGAAUGCUGACAUGAGUAACGACAAUGCGAGUGAAAAACUCGCACGCCGAAAGACCAAGGUUUCCUGCGCAACGUUAAUCGACGCAGGGUUAGUCGGUCCCUAAGGCGAGGCUGAAAAGCGUAGUCGAUGGAAAACAGGUUAAUAUUCCUGUACUUCCAGUUAUUGCGAUGGAGGGACGGAGAAGGCUAGGCCAGCUUGGCGUUGGUUGUCCAAGUUUAAGGUGGUAGGCUGAAAUCUUAGGCAAAUCCGGGAUUUCAAGGCCGAGAGCUGAUGACGAGUUGCCAUUAGGCGACGAAGUGGUUGAUGCCAUGCUUCCAAGAAAAGCUCCUAAGCUUCAGAUAACUGGGAACCGUACCCCAAACCGACACAGGUGGUUAGGUAGAGAAUACCAAGGCGCUUGAGAGAACUCGGGUGAAGGAACUAGGCAAAAUGGCACCGUAACUUCGGGAGAAGGUGCGCCGGUGAGGGUGAAGCACUUGCUGCGUAAGCCCACGCCGGUCGAAGAUACCAGGCCGCUGCGACUGUUUAUUAAAAACACAGCACUCUGCAAACACGAAAGUGGACGUAUAGGGUGUGACGCCUGCCCGGUGCCGGAAGGUUAAUUGAUGGGGUUAGCGCAAGCGAAGCUCUUGAUCGAAGCCCCGGUAAACGGCGGCCGUAACAAUAACGGUCCUAAGGUAGCGAAAUUCCUUGUCGGGUAAGUUCCGACCUGCACGAAUGGCGUAACGAUGGCGGCGCUGUCUCCACCCGAGACUCAGUGAAAUUGAAAUCGCUGUGAAGAUGCAGUGUAUCCGCGGCUAGACGGAAAGACCCCGUGAACCUUUACUAUAGCUUUGCACUGGACUUUGAAUUUGCUUGUGUAGGAUAGGUGGGAGGCUUUGAAGUGGGGACGCCAGUUCUCAUGGAGCCAUCCUUGAAAUACCACCCUGGCAACUUUGAGGUUCUAACUCAGGUCCGUUAUCCGGAUCGAGGACAGUGUAUGGUGGGUAGUUUGACUGGGGCGGUCUCCUCCCAAAGAGUAACGGAGGAGUACGAAGGUGCGCUCAGACCGGUCGGAAAUCGGUCGUAGAGUAUAAAGGCAAAAGCGCGCUUGACUGCGAGACAAACACGUCGAGCAGGUACGAAAGUAGGUCUUAGUGAUCCGGUGGUUCUGUAUGGAAGGGCCAUCGCUCAACGGAUAAAAGGUACUCCGGGGAUAACAGGCUGAUACCGCCCAAGAGUUCAUAUCGACGGCGGUGUUUGGCACCUCGAUGUCGGCUCAUCACAUCCUGGGGCUGAAGCCGGUCCCAAGGGUAUGGCUGUUCGCCAUUUAAAGUGGUACGCGAGCUGGGUUUAGAACGUCGUGAGACAGUUCGGUCCCUAUCUGCCGUGGACGUUUGAGAUUUGAGAGGGGCUGCUCCUAGUACGAGAGGACCGGAGUGGACGAACCUCUGGUGUUCCGGUUGUCACGCCAGUGGCAUUGCCGGGUAGCUAUGUUCGGAAGAGAUAACCGCUGAAAGCAUCUAAGCGGGAAACUUGCCUCAAGAUGAGAUCUCACUGGGAUCUUGA
rnacentral:rRNA from 1 species